rnacentral:rRNA from 1 species
GACGAACCGAGCGAACGUUGUUCGGAAUCACUGGGCUUAAAGGGCGCGUAGGCGGGUGCUCAAGUCCGUGGUGAAAUCCUCCGGCUCAACCCGGAGAACUGCCUCGGAUACUGGGUGCCUCGAGGGUGGUAGGGGUAUGCGGAACUAUCGGUGGAGCGGUGAAAUGCGUAGAGAUCGUGAGGAAGACCAGUGGCGAAGGCGGGUCUCUGGACAGUUCCUGACGCUGAGGCGCGAAGGCCAGGGGAGCAAACGGGG